AGCAGAGAAAAUAGAAAAUAACUCUAAGUAUACAAAAGAACAUUUCUUUUGGAUAAAAGCAGAAAUGGAGAUGUAUGAAAAGGAAAAGUGCAAUAGUGAGGAGCAGAGCACAGUAUGCGGUGGAGGGGGAAAGGUGCACAAAGUAUUUUCUGAAUUUAGAG